rfam:Brassica napus, WGS project CCCW01000000 data, contig: 5982
GAAGGAUAUGAUGAUUGAACUUUCUUUGUUCCCUAUUGGUUUGAUAGCCGAUAUGAUGGCAUCUUACGUAUUAGCUCUAUCUGAUCCUUC